rnacentral:rRNA from 1 species
CAGCAGCCGCGGGAAUACGAAGGGUGCAAGCGUUACUCGGAAUUACUGGGCGUAAAGCGUGCGUAGGUGGUGGUUUAAGUCCGUUGUGAAAGCCCUGGGCUCAACCUGGGAAUUGCAGUGGAUACUGGGUCACUAGAGUGUGGUAGAGGAUAGUGGAAUUUCCGGUGUAGCAGUGAAAUGCGUAGAGAUCGGAAGGAACAUCUGUGGCGAAGGCGACUAUCUGGGCCAACACUGACACUGAGGCACGAAAGCGUGGGGAGCAAACAGGAUUAGAUACCCCUGUAGUCCCUGUCUCUUAUCA